GGAGGAAUGGCCGAGUGGUUGAAGGCAGCAGUCUUGAAAACUGCAGUACCGGAAACGGUACCGGGGGUUCGAAUCCCUCUUCCUCCG
rnacentral:tRNA from 1 species